rnacentral:rRNA from 1 species
AUUGAACGCUGGCGGCAUGCCUUACACAUGCAAGUCGAACGGUAACAGGUCUUCGGAUGCUGACGAGUGGCGAACGGGUGAGUAAUACAUCGGAACGUGCCCAGACGCGGGGGAUAACGAGGCGAAAGCUUUGCUAAUACCGCAUACGAUCUAAGGAUGAAAGCAGGGGACCGCAAGGCCUUGUGCGGUUGGAGCGGCCGAUGGCAGAUGAGGUAGUUGGUGGGAUAAAAGCUUACCAAGCCGACGAUCUGUAGCUGGUCUGAGAGGACGACCAGCCACACUGGGACUGAGACACGGCCCAGACUCCUACGGGAGGCAGCAGUGGGGAAUUUUGGACAAUGGGCGAAAGCCUGAUCCAGCAAUGCCGCGUGCAGGAUGAAGGCCUUCGGGUUGUAAACUGCUUUUGUACGGAACGAAAAGGCUCUGGCUAAUACCUGGGGCACAUGACGGUACCGUAAGAAUAAGCACCGGCUAACUACGUG